GCGCUCACUUCGGCAGCACAUCUACUAAAACUGGAAUGGUACAGAGAAGAUUAGCAUGGCCCCUGUACAAGGAUGGCAUGCAAAUUCGUGAAGCAUUCCAUAUUUGG
rnacentral:snRNA from 1 species